rnacentral:lncRNA from 1 species
UGUUAUUGAAUUUGAAUAGGUACACCACAUGGAAGAUGAGGUCUCACUGAAUUUAGUCCUUGUAAAUAUUCUUAUGGUUAACAGGGCAAAUCAAAAGAACUGCAUAAAAAGCUUUUAUUUCCGUGUGGUUUAAGAAUAGUAGUAUAGAUUAUGCAAGUACAAAUAAUACAAUGGAGCUGUAAUCAUCAUUUCAAUAUGUUUCAC